CCCGCCCCGUCCUUCUUCCUUGAUAUUUAGACUCUCCUCAGGCAAAGCAGUAGAGCCAGGGAAGCUCUGCGGAAACCUCUGGAGCUAUGAUCAGGAAACCUCCCUGAGCUUACAGGGAAGGUCAUACUGCCUAGGCUAUGGAUCCAGCUUCAGGCCAGGGUUUCUGUCACAUGCAACCGGACUGAGCUGGUUAGAUGUGCAAAGCAAGAAGGGGUCGUAGAUGGCCUGAGAGGACAGUCACACACAACAAAAGCCAACAAGGUGGAAGAGGAGCCAUUCAUUGGACUAUUACCUCAGUCUGGGAUCAGAAAGCCAGGGCUUUGAGCCAGAGGCAGC